UCAAAGGGAUAAACGGCUAAAGUCGCCACGUCCGCAUGACUUCGCCGUUUUGACCAACAUCCUGUUGC
rnacentral:sRNA from 1 species